rnacentral:rRNA from 1 species
UACGUAGGGGGCUAGCGUUGUCCGGAAUCAUUGGGCGUAAAGCGCGUGUAGGCGGUCCGGUAAGUCCGCUGUGAAAGUCGGGGGCUCAACCCUCGAAUGCCGGUGGAUACUGUCGGGCUAGAGUGCGGAAGAGGCGAGUGGAAUUCCUGGUGUAGCGGUGAAAUGCGCAGAUAUCAGGAGGAACACCAAGUGCGAAGGCAGCUCGCUGGGACGUAACUGACGCUGAGACGCGAAAGCGUGGGGAGCAAACAGG